rnacentral:rRNA from 1 species
ACUCCUACGGGAGGCAGCAGUGGGAAUAUUGCACAAUGGGGAAGCCAUCGAUGCAGCCAUGCCGCGUGUGUGAAGAAGGCCAUUCGGGUUGGUAAAGACACUUUCAGUAGGGAGGAAGGUAGUGUAGUUAACACCUGCACUAUUUGACGUUACCUACAGAAGAAGCACCGGCUAACUCCGUGCCAGCAGCCGCGGUAAUACGGAGGGUGCGAGCGUUAAUCGGAAUUACUGGGCGUAAAGCGCAUGCAGGCGGCCUGUUAAGUCAGAUGUGAAAG